UCACCUCCACCCUCUUCACCUCCACCCUUUGCAAAAACCUAAAAAAGAACAACGUCAACAGAUUGGUUAUAUCAACAACCAUAUACUGUCCCACUUGCCGACAUAUAUGAACAAAGUUUCCAAGCGACAGGAAAGAGAAUGUCUGAUUGAGAAACCAAACGCAGAUCCGAUUGCGACAGUAAAAAGCAACACCGACGACUACGACAACACCAGAAGAAAGAAAUCAAGGCGGUGACACUAUGAACUGUAAGACCCAUUAAUCAAAUCAAACACCCCCAAAUCCUUAAUCUUCCGAUUAAAAAAUUGAACUUUGAAUUCCUGCGAGUCAGCAGCUUCACAACCUUUUCCUUCCCACCAAACACCCACGAUUAUUUACAAAAAAUAAAAUCCAAACUUUCUGGGGUCCCAAAAUCUGAGGAACCUGACUCUGAAACUGAUCCGGAGCAGGUCUGGUUCGCGAGCCACCCGAGGAGAGAAAAGAAUCGAAGUGCUGAAGCAGAGGAGCCACCAUGUGUCGGUGCCACCGCCGCCAAAACCCAGAAGCAGACCAUCAGCAUUCUCUCCUUCGAAGUCGCCAAUGUUGUGUCCAAGACCGUCCACCUCCACAUGUCUCUCAUCGACUCUGAGAUCUCGAAGCUCUAAAACAAGAUCUUGAAGUUUAGGAAGAAGAUUGCAGGAAAUGGAGGGGGCGACGACAGCGAGGAGUCCGGAGGAGAAAAACACAAGGUUAGAUAACAUGUGCUAGCGGAUUUGGUGGAAUUUGAGGACAAUGAUGUGGGAUUGAGCUUCUUCAAUUGAUAAUCUUGGUGGAA